rnacentral:rRNA from 1 species
CAUCGCUCUUUGUAUAACUUAAUAAAUAAUGAGUACUGCCUGCCCAGUGAAAUAAAAUUUUAACGGCCGCGGUAUUUUGACCGUGCAAAGGUAGCAUAAUAAUUUGCUCUUUAAUUGAGGGCUAGAAUGAAAGGCAAGACGAAAGCAAAACUGUCUCCCUACUAAAAAAAGAAAUUAAUAUUUUAGUGAAGAAACUAAAAUAAAAACGCAAGACGAAAAGACCCUGUCGAGCUUAAGAAAAUUUUUAUAAUAUUAUAAAAAUAAAGCUAAUUUUCUAAAAUUACUUUUUAAAUAAAAAUAUAAAACAAUAAAAAUAUCUUUGGUUGGGGCAACCACGAAGAAAAAAUAACCUUCGAACUCUAAUAAAAAUUAACAAAUUUAAUAUUUUUAAAAAUAUAUUUGAUCCGGAAUUUCCGAACAAAGAAAAAAGUUACCGCAGGGAUAACAGCGUUAUUCUCUUUAAGAGUCCAUAUUGACAAGAGAGUUUGCGACCUCGAUGUUGGACCGGGGCAUCCAAGAGAUGCAGAAGUCUCUAAAGGUAGGUCUGUUCGACCUUUAAAGCCCUACGUGA